UCACGAGGAUCCUACUGUCUCCCCCCUCUAAUCAGUGAAACUGAUCUCCCCGUGAAGAAGCGGGGAUAUACAUAUAAGACGAGAAGACCCCAUGGAGCUUUAAACCUGACAGCACCCGCUCAUUCUAUACCCCAUUAUUUGCCCGACCCCUGUCUGCUCAGUUUUAGGUUGGGGUGACCACGGAGUAUAAAAUAACCUCCAUGAAGAAGGGGAUAUUUCCCUUAUUAGAGAACCACACUUCCAAGAACUAAUAAAUUAAUUUUCAAUGACCCGAUACCCGAUAAUCGAUCAACGAACCAAGUUACCCUGGGGAUAACAGCGCAAUCCACCCUGAAAGCCCUUAUUAACAGGUGGGUUUACGACCUCGAUGUUGGAUCAGGGUAUCCCAGUGGUGCAGCAGCUACUGAGGGUUCGUUUGUUCAACGAUUA
rnacentral:rRNA from 1 species